GAUGAACGCUGACAGAAUGCUUAACACAUGCAAGUCCACUUGAAUUUGGGUUUUUAACUUAGGUUUGGGUGGCGGACGGGUGAGUAACGCGUAAAGAACUUGCCUCACAGCUAGGGACAACAUUUGGAAACGAAUGCUAAUACCUAAUAUUAUGAUAAUAGGGCAUCCUAUAAUUAUGAAAGCUAUAAGCGCUGUGAGAGAGCUUUGCGUCCCAUUAGCUAGUUGGAGAGGUAACGGCUCACCAAGGCGAUGAUGGGUAGCCGGUCUGAGAGGGUGAUCGGCCACAAGGGGACUGAGACACGGCCCUUACUCCUACGGGAGGCAGCAGCGGGGAAUAUUGGACAAUGGACCGAGAGUCUGAUCCAGCAAUUCUGUGUGCACGAUGAAGUUUUUCGGAAUGUAAAGUGCUUUCAGUUGGGAAGAAACAAAUGACGGUACCAACAGAAGAAGUGACGGCUAAAUACGUG
rnacentral:rRNA from 1 species